rnacentral:rRNA from 1 species
AGCGAACGCUGGCGGCAGGCCUAAUACAUGCAAGUCGAACGGUUCCUUCGGGAACAGUGGCGGACGGGUGAGUAACACGUGGGAACGUGCCCUUUGGUACGGAACAACUGAGGGAAACUUCAGCUAAUACCGUAUGUGCCCUUCGGGGGAAAGAUUUAUCGCCAUUGGAGCGGCCCGCGUUGGAUUAGGUAGUUGGUGAGGUAAAGGCUCACCAAGCCUACGAUCCAUAGCUGGUCUGAGAGGAUGAUCAGCCACACUGGGACUGAGACACGGCCCAGACUCCUACGGGAGGCAGCAGUAGGGAAUCUUGCGCAAUGGGCGAAAGCCUGACGCAGCCAUGCCGCGUGAAUGAUGAAGGUCUUAGGAUUGUAAAAUUCUUUCACCGGGGACGAUAAUGACGGUACCCGGAGAAGAAGCCCCGGCUAACUUCGUGCCAGCAGCCGCCGGUAAAAGUAGCGUG